rnacentral:rRNA from 1 species
CCUACGGGUGGCAGCAGUGGGGAAUAUUGCACAAUGGGGGGAACCCUGAUGCAGCGACGCCGCGUGGGUGAAGGAGUAUUUCGGUAUGUAAAGCCCUAUCAGCAGGGAAGAACAAUGACGGUACCUGACUACGAAGCACCGGCUAAAUACGUGCCAGCAGCCUCGGUAAUAGGGAGGGUGCAAGCGUUAGCCGGAUUUCCGGGGUGUAAAGGGAGCGCAGGCGGCGCGUUAAGCCUGGGGUGAAAGUCCGGGGCCCAACCGCGGGACUGCAUUGGGAACUGGCGCGCUGGAGUGCAGGAGGGGUAGGCGGAAUUCCUAGUGUAGCGGUGAAAUGCGUAGAUAUUAGGAGGAACACCAGUGGCGAAGGCGGCCUACUGGACGGUGACUGACGCUGAGGCUCGAAAGCGUGGGGAGCAAACAGGAUUAGAUACCCUUGUAGUC